rnacentral:lncRNA from 1 species
AAAAAGGAAAGUGAAAAAAAUAAUGAACUUCGAGGAAAAUGCAAAAACGGAAAGUCCUUAAUCAAAUGGCAAAUUCAAAACCUCAAACACGUCAAACUAAUGGACAUCAACUCAUUACAUGUUACAAAUAUUCUUAUUUUCUAUUUCAUUCUUCACGACAGGUGUCACAUGUGAUGUAGGAUCUGUUUAUACUUCCCAAAGCAGUUUAGACCACCCCCAUAGGAUCUGUUUAUACUUCCCAAAGCACUUUAGACCACCCCCAGUUUUGUUGAUUUUGUGUUGCUCAGCCUGUGAUUUUCUAUGUUGUGUUGUUGUACUAUUGUUUGCCUGUUGUAUUUUUCUUUUUAAACCAUGGUGUUGUAAGUUUAUUUUCGACUUAUUUGUUUGAAUGUCACUAUGGUAUAUUUCGUCCCUCUUUGAUAUAAAUAUGCAAAAUAACUAUUUCUGAAAAACGAUCCUUCAUUAUACACAUAUAUAUUGUUUGUGUGUACAAAUAAAGGUCUUUUUUUUAAAUCACACAAAGGAAAUAUAAACUGUUAGUAGUUAGUUUUAUUGUAUGUUUACUUUUAAAAUUAAUGAUAAAUGUAUAUGAGUUGUAUCGAAUUAACAGAUCUACAGACGAAAAUAAUAAAACAAUUGCUAUCUCAUGUUUAAAAGUAUUGAGGUUAAUUGACUCGAUAAUGCAUUGUAAUGGUUUUAUCGCAAUUUGUUGAAUAAAUGAGUGCGUUUUUUCACCUAGGUGUCGUUGAAUUGAUAUGCAUCGCCUUUUGGUAAACUCUCUAAGCUGUUAAUGAUCACCAAACUGUACUUUAUCCACAAGUAUUCAGUACUUUAUUUGACCUUCAAACUAGGUCCUGAAUGAAUUGAUUUUAUCAACGUAAGAAAAUAUAUUAAAGGACAGAUUAGCAAUUUUUGACAUUUAAAACAGGUUUUGAAAUACAGAAAAUGGUUACAAUAUAUAGACAUGAUUACUUCAAAAGUUUAAAAAUACCUUUACAGCUUAUGAGUUUAAAACUUUUGAAUUUUAUUUAACACAUGUCUUUUACAUGUGAACAGAGCACAGCAUGUUCAGACUUUAUAUGCUGCUACAUAUAUCAAUCUCAUUGAACACAACGAUAACAGUGACUACAUGAAGUAAAAUUCUAACCAAAUUGUUCCAAAUCGAACAAUUGUCUAGACAUAUCGUAAACAAAUCAUAAAAUGUCAUAAAACAUACCUAAAUAAAAUUCAACUUUUUUUUUUCUUCUGAUGCAUUGAGCGGCAAAUGUACAUAAACUACUACAAUUUGUAAUCAUUUAAAGAACAUUUAUUGAUCAUUUAGGAUAAAACGGCUAAUAUACACUACACAUUGAGUUGAAUUUUACACUACGCAUUGAGUUGAAUUUUACACUACACAUUGAGUUGAAUUUUACACUACACAUUGAGUUGAAUUUUACUCUACACAUUGAGUUGAGUUUUACGGAUAUUUGAUCUUCGAUAUUGGUCGUAUUGGUGUCAGAAAUAUAACAAAACUGAACACUACAUUCGUUGAUAGAACAACUUUCCUUCUAUAUGUUCAAGACUGAAUUUUCAUGUUAGCUGAGUUUUUUUAUGAAUCUUGUCGAACAAUAUAACAGUUUAUUCGUACAUUUUGCUGUAAUAAAACUGUUUCGUGUAAGUAGAGGUGUAAGCACUCGGAAAUUUGUUUAAACCCGCAAAAUGUACAUGUCCAAUGUACGUAGCUUGGAAUUUGUCGUUGGUCGUUACUUGCUGCUUCAUGUUUGUUUUCCAAUUAUUGUUAAGAGUUUAAGUGAUAAAAGAGAGGGGUAAUAUACUUAAGGGAUUUCGAAUUCGAAAAACAAAAUGACAAUUCCUUGGCACAAAUUGAAAAUGAUCAAAUGAAAAGUAUACAAUACACAACAUUGAUACAUGAUGUUUCAGGUUCUCGUGGUGGCUAAGGUUAUCAUGCAGCAUAUGAUGCACCCGUAGUGUUGUUUAUGUUAGGAACACCUAAUGAAAGGUCAAAUUCGGUAGCUCACACUCGAUGAAAAGAUAACGAGAUUAUUAAUUGCUAAGACAAAUCGGAACAUAUUCGUAAUCAUCUUUGGCACAAGUAUUACAAAAAGAUCAUCAAACUCCGUCCGUAAAACGCAUUCAAAAGUUGAAGGAACGGCAAAAAGUAUAUCCAUUUCAUACCCAUGUACUACAUUAUCUUCCCUGAAGUCUUCAAAAUAAAGUACUAGUAAGAAUAUUUUCAUCCGUUUUGAUAUCAUGAUUUCAAAGACGGGUACGUACUAUUGUUUAUUUCGUUUACUAUAUUUUUCAGGUAACAGCUUAUAAGAUUUUCUAACAGGAACACAAGGAUGAAAAACAGUAGAGUAAGUGUGUCAAUAAAAUAGAGAAUGGAAAUAAGGAAUGUGUCAAAGACACAACAACCCGACCAUAGAGCAGAAAACAGCCGAAGGUGUCAAUAAUAAUGCAAUCACCUCCCUGUUAUAGGAUAAAAAUCUUCAUGUUUUAAUUCUACAUUUUGGCUGUGAUCUAAUAAUUGUUGAUUGUCGGAAUAAUUGCAGAACGAUUUGUUUAGAAUAUUACCAAUUUCCCACAUGAUAUUACGUAAUGUGUUAUGUCAUUUUCAUUUGGGAUGGUGUGUCAAACCGCUAUAUAUGUACUGAAUUGUUUCCGAUAAAGGGUGAGGCUCAUGUUUUUUGAUAUUUUUGUCUAAGGGUCUACAUUGUUUGUACGUGUCAAAGUCAUAACUUUCCGAAAACUAAACAAACCGAAUCAAUUUUAGUCAAAGUGUUUGGUACCACCGUAAUGCAGGAUUCUUAGUUUAAGCGAUUAGUGAAUUUUAAAAAAUUUUAAAAUUAAUUGGUGACAUUUUUUUAUUAUCCUAACCAUUUGAUUAUUUAUAAACAUAUCUUUUAUUUUCCAGGUUCAGAUAUUACCGACAAAUGUAGUAAUCCAAACAAAAAAUCAAACGCAUUCACAUUAUAAAAUCGCACCAAUAGAUUGGACNNNNNNNNNNNNNNNNNNNNNNNNNUUUCUUCAGAAAGAGUUAUUGGAGAUGUGUUUGCAAUGUUCGCAGGCAUCUGUUUCUAUCCAUGAACAAGUUGUGUGUCAAAUUAAUUAUUAUUACUUAUCACUCGUAUUUUUUGCCCUACCUACCAUUAUUGGCAUUGAUUGCCAGUGCACGAACUAGCACGAACGCCACAUUUAGUUAGUGGUGCGAUAUUCUGACGCGUUUUUUAGUUCUUGGUCACUCAAGUUUAGAAAGAAAGGGGAGAAAAUCCAAAUAGACACCCACCAAUCACAAACGUUGUUGCAAAUUUGACCUUAAGGCGUCAAAGAAUUUCCCAUGAUGCAAUUAUUGCAUAUAAAUAAAAAACAAAAACAAAAAAAACUAUUAUACAUUGUACCAAUUGAAUAAAAAUUGUUGCAUACAAAUGACAUUUUAUACCAAUUGAAUAAAAAAUAUUGUAGUUGAAUGCAAAUUAUUAUACCAUUUGAAUGAAAAAUUAUACCAUUCGAAUAAAAAAUAUUGCAUUUUAAUGAUAAAAUAUACCAUUUAAAUGAGAAAAAUAUACCAUUUAAAUGAAAAAAUAUACCAUUUAAAUGAAAAAUAUACCAUUUGAAUAAAAAAUAUUGCAUCUAAAUGAAAAAAAAUAUACCAUUCAAAUGAAAAAAUAUUGCAUUUAAAUGAAGAAAUAUAUUAAUCAAAUAUUAAAUAUUGCAUUUGAAUGAAAAAUAUCGAAUUUUUGCAACCAAUACCAUGCCAUAAUUGCUGUAAAAACAUUUUAAUAAACUGUUUUCUUUAACACUUGUUUAUAUUGCAAAAAAAAUUACCUUCAUCUGAUUAUAUCAUUUGAAUUGAAUGAAAGUGUUUUUACGUGAUUUAGUUGUGACGGUUAAUAAUAUUCAACUAUACCUUUUGAUUUAAUCCUUAUGAUCUUUUAAACGGUAUACUUGUCUUGAUAAUAUCCUUAUUUAUUUUCUACUUAAAUUAAAGGUUAGAUAUUUUCCAUUUUUACUUAUUUUGAAACCAAACCUAACACUUUAUUGAACCAUAAUUGUUAUAGUGUCAAUCUUAAAGAAAAGAAUACAAUACUUUGUUUGUCUUUACGCAUAUGUUUAUAUAAUGGUAAUAGUAAUAACUUUAGUUCUUUUGUAUGAUUAUAUUCAUUCAAAACAAAAAUGUCCCUUUUUAUGAUGUUUAUAAAGUGGAAAGGCAAUACAGCUGUGCCUAAAAAAUACUAUGUUCAUUGCUGUGUUCGAACAGUAAAUAAAGACUUAUUUAGAAUUGAAUUGAUUUAUUUGUAUUUUUUAAUGCGUUUAUCAAUAUAUAUGGUUGUCAGGACUGCCCAAAGAAAGGACUCACUACGGUUGGUCUUUCAUUUGACUAAUACUGAAAAUCGUCGUUUUGUUAUACGACAAGACAAACGUUAAGGUACUAGUAUGUAUAAAAAGUAAAAUCAUAAAAAUACUGAACUCCGAGGAAAAUUCAAGACGGAAAGUCCCUAAUCAAUUUGCAAAAUCAAAAGAUCAAACACAUCACCUGUCAUAUUUCUGACUUUGUAAAUGCAUUUUCAUGGUGGAAAAAGAUAGAUUGAAAAUUUUAUAGAUAGCUUAACCUCCUACGUAUAUGACAGUUGCAUAACAUUUCAUUAUAUUGAAAACGAUGUGUGAACACAAAAAACAGACAGUAUAGAUAUAAAUGUCAAAAAUACGGGUACAUCAGUCAAUAUUCCAUAACAUAUAACCGAAUGCGAAUUAUUAACGUGCUUUACUAAGAAUGAGCAAGGGGUAUCAAUAUUAAAGCAGGAAUUUACUACCUUUUGGUCACUCGGAGUUUAUCUACGGUUAUUGGUAGGAUAUCCGUUGCUUAAUACUUAGUUGUCUGUGUAAAGUUAUUAUUGUUUGUUAUCUUGACGUGUUUUGUUCGAGUCUUUGAUGUCCGUGUUAUUAGAUAUGAUCCUUUAAUGUGUAGUUUGGUAUAAUCUUUCUCUUUACAUGACGUGUUUGAAGUUGCUUUUAACCGUUUAACAACUUUGCUAUAUAUAUCUUACUAGUAACCUGUUUCCUUGGCUACAUGGUUUGUUAUUUAGGGACGUUGUUGAAAGUUGAAAAAUGUUACUUAGACAGGCAGCUACUUUUAAGGAAAUAUUUUUCUCUAAGACUGAUUCUUAUAGUUCUUCUCAGUUAUAUGCAUUGUUAUGUAUUAUAAAUGCUAGAUAAACGUACUGUUUGCAUGACAAGUGUUUACAGUUCCGUUAUAUUUAUACAAAAUAGAUGGACAAGACAUAAUUGGUUAUUGUGACAAUCAUUGAAUCCAUAUUAUGUUCACUGGAAUCUGUUAGUAAAAUUAUCCUACUGCUGUUUGAACACAUUCGUAUGGGUCAUUAAAUUAUUGGCAAACAACAAACAUGGCCUUUUGCUCAUGAUAAAAUAUGACACUACCACAAUGUCAAAUGCUUUUAUUUGCUGUCAGCAAUGUAAAAGAAAUUUUUUGAAUUUUGAUUUAGGACUAUCUUCAUUGUUCGAACUAUGAAGUGGUUAAAGAUGCUUGCUAUACUCGAAAUGUGCCUUUGUAAAGUUUUUUUGUGUCUGCGUAUCAAGAUGUACAAAUUAAAGAAAUAUCAUAUUCCAAAUAACCGUUUUUAUAGAACAGUUUUAGUAAAUUUGCAACAAAUAGCAAUGGUUUAGAGAUUAACACCUAAAUAAUACAAUACUCUAUCCUUUCACAAUAUUAAAGUUAGUAAAUACAAAAGGCAUAUAUAGAAUACUGACGAAUAGGGUGCUCACUAACAUUUCACAGGUAUAGCACUACAUUUUACAUUUUCAAUUUGAUAACAUAGUUUUAUAUACCAGAAACUAUAGACUCGCUUACAGUAUAUAAAGAAUAUCAAUUAAAAGGUUAUUUUCAUAAAAUAAUUGUUUGCAAAAGUAUGAGUUAUUCGAAAUACUAAGGAUUUUCUUAUCCCAGACAUUGAUUUACCGAGCCGUAUUUGGCACAACAAAUUUGGAAUUUUUGGUCCUCAAUGAUCUUCAAACUUAUACUGGUUUGGCUAUCUAAAAAAUUUGUUUUGAGCGUCACUGAUGAGUCUUAGGUAGACAUAACGCGCAUCUGGUGUAUCAAAUUAUAUUAAGCCUGGUACAUUUGAUAACUAUCAUGAACAUGUGAUGAGUUCAACGUUUGUAUCUGGCACUUCAAUUUCCUUGAUUUGAUUUCCAACAUAGAAAUGACAUUAUUUAUUUAGUUGAACGCAUAAUAAUUUUUUUUAGAAACGAACUUAAACUAUCGAGUCUCAAAACGGCGACUGCACCAGUGUUCAUAUGUCUGUUCUGGUUUAUUGAAGUGAUGUUAUAUGGUGAUUGUUGUACCAGAUCAUUUUUUAUACAUCUAUUCUAGUUAAUUAAGGUAACGUUCUAUAGUGAUAAGUGUACCGGACCGUUUGUUCAUACAUUUUUUCUGGUUUUAUUGAAGUGAUGGCAUAACAGACCAUUGUUCAUACAUCUUUUUUGAUUAAUUGAAGUGAUUUUAUAUGGUGAUUGGUGUUCUAGAGCAUUUGUUCAUAUGUCUUUUUUUUUGUUUAUUGAAGUGACGUUCUAUGGUUAUUGUUGUACCAGACCAUUUGUUCAUAUGUCUUUUCUGGUUUAUUGAAGUGAUGUUAUAUGGUGAUUGUUGUACAGACCAUUAAUUCCAUAUGUCUUUUCUAGUUUAAUUGAAGUGUGGUGUUAUAUGUGAUUGUUGUACCAGACCAUUUAUUCAUAUUCUUUUCUAGUUGUAUUGAAGUGAUGUUAUAUGUGUGAUUUGUUGUUACCAGACCUUAUUCAUAUGUCUUUCUAGUUAUUGAAGUGAUGUUAUAUGGGGAUUGUUGCUACCAGACCUAUUGUUCAUAUGCUUUUCUUAGUUUAUUGACAGUAAUGAUAUGGUGAUUGUUGUACCAGACCAUUUAUAUCAUAUGUCUUUUCUAGUUUCUUGAAGUGAGUUAUAUGGUGAUUGUUGUACAGAUGUCUGUUCUGGUUCUUGAAGUGAUGUUAUAGGUGAUUGUUGUAACAUAGACCAUUUGUUCAAUAUGUUUUUCUGGUUUAUUGAAGUGAUGUUAUAUGGUGAUUGUUGCUACCAGGACCAUUUGUUUCAUAUGUCUGUUUUCUGUUUUGAAGUGAUGUUAUAUGGUGAUUGUUUGUACCAGCACCAUUUAUUCAUCAAUGUCUUUUCUGGUUUAUUGAAGUGAUGUUAUAUGGUGGUUGUUGUACCAGACCAUUUAUGUCAUAAUUCUUUUCUGGUAAUUGAAGUUGAUGUUAUAUGCUGAUUGUUGUACCAAGACCAUUUGUUCAUAUGUCUUUUCUGGUUGUAUUGAAGUGAUGUUAUAUGUGAUUGUUGUACCAGACCUUUGUUUCAUAUGUCUUUCUGGUUUAAUUGAAGUGAUGUUAUAUGGUGAUUGUUUACCAGAUGUCUGUUCUGGUUUAUGAAGUGAUGUUAUAUGGUGAUUAUUGUAACAUACACAUUUGUUCAUAUGUCUUUUUCUGGUUUAUUGAAGUGAUGUUAUAUGGUGAUUGUUGUACCAGACCAUUUGUUCAUAUGUCUUUCUGGUUUAUUGAAGUGAUGUUAUAUGGUGAUUGUUGUACGCAGAUGUCUUUCUGGCUUUAUUGAAGUGAUGUUAAUGGUGAUUGUUGUACCGACCAUUGUUCAUAUGUCCUUUUUCUGUAAUUGAAGUGAUUUUAUAUGGUGAUUAUUGUUCUAAGAAAACCAUUUGGUUCAUAAUGUCUUUUCUUGGUUUAUUUAAAGUGAUGUUAUAUGGGAUUGUUGUUCUAGACCAUUUGUUCAUAUGUUUUUUCGAGUUUAUUUGGAAGUGAUGUUAUAUGGUGAUUGUUGUACAAGACCAUUUGUUCAUAUGUCUUUUCUGGUUAUUGAAGGAAUGUUAUAAUGGUUGAUUGUUGUACAGACCAUUGUGUUCAUAAUGUCUUUUCUGGUUUAUAUGAAUGAGUUAUAUGGUGCAUUGUUGUAGGGCCAGACCAUUUAUUCAUAUGUUCUUGUUCUGAGUUUAUUGAAGGGAAUGUUAGUAUGGUGGUUGUUGUACCAGACCAUGUUAUUCAUAUGUCUUUUCUGGUUAUUGAAGUGAUGUUAUAUGCUGAUGUUGUACCAGACCAUUUAUGUUUAAUGUCUUUUCUGGUUUAUUGAAGUGAUGUUAUAUGGUGAUUGUUGUACCAACCAUUUGUUUCAUAAUGUUUUUCUGGUUUAUUGAAGUGAUGUUAUAUGGUGAUUGUUGUACCAGAUUCUUUCUGGUUUAUUGAAAGUUGAUGUUAUAUGGUGAUUAUUGUACCAUACCAUUUGUUCAUAAUUUCUUUUCUGGUUUAUUGAAGUGAUAUGUUAUAUGGUGAUUGUUUACCAGACCAUUGUUCAUAUGUUUUUUCUGGUUUAAUGAAGUGAUGUUAUAUGGUGAUUGUUUACCAGAUGUCUUUUCUUGGUUUAUGAUGUGAUGUUAUAUGUAGAUGUUGUGUACCAGACCAUUUGUUCAUAUGUCUUUUCUGUUAAUUGAAGUGAUUUUAUAUGGUGAUUAUGUUCUAACAUUUUGUUCAUAUGUCUUUUCUGGUUUAUUGAAGUGAUGUAUAUGGUAUUGUUGUUUAUGACCAUUUGUUCAUAUGUCUUUCCUAGUUUAUUGGAAGUGAUUUAUAUGUGAUUGUUGUACCAGACCAUUUGUUCAUAUGUCUUUUUGGUUAUUGAAGUGUGUUAUAGUGAUUGUUGUCCAGUUUUAUAGUCUUUUCUGUUAUUGAAGGAUUAUAGAUUUGUUGUACCCAUUUGUGCAUAGUCUUUCUUGAUUUUUGAAGUGAUGUUAUAUGGUGAUGUUGUACCUAGACCAUUUUGUGCAUAUGUCGAUUUUGGUUUAAUUGAUUGAUUUAUAUGGUGGUUGUUGUACCAGACCAUUUGUUCAUUUGUCUUUUAUAGUAUUGAAGAGAUGUUAUAUGGUGAUUGUUGUACCAGACCAUUUGUUCAUAUGUCUUGCUUGUUUAUUGAAGUGGAUGUUAUAUGGUGAUUGUUGUUCUAGACCAUUGUUCAUAAUGUCUUUUCUGGUUUAUUGAAGUGAUGUUAUAUGGUGAUUGUGUACCAUAUGUCUUCUAGUUUAUUGAAAUGAUUUAUAUGUGAUUGUUGUACCAGACCAUUUUUCAUAUGUCUUUUCUGGUUUUAUUGAAGUGAUGUUAUAUGGUGAUUUUAUGUUCUAGACCAUUUGUUUUCAUAUUCUUUUUCUGGUAUUGAAGUGAUUGUUAUAUGGUGAUUGUUGUACCAGGCCAUUUGUUCAUAUGUCUUUUCUGUUUAUUGAAGUGAUGUUAUAUGGGUGAUUGUCGUACAGACACAUUUGUUAUAUGUCUUUUCUGGUUAUGGAAGUGAUGUUAUAUUGGUAUUGUUGUACCAGACCAUUUGUUCAUAUGUCUUUUCUUGUUUAUUGAAGUGAUGUUUAUAUAGUGAUUGUUGUACCAGACCAUUUGUGCAUAUGUCGAUUUGUUUAUUGAAUGAUGUUAAUAGAUGGUUGUUGUACCAGACCAUUUGUUCAUUUGUCUUUUUAUAGUUUAUUGAGAGAUGUCAUAUUGUGAUUGUAUUAAGGACCAUUGUUUCAUAUGUCUUUUCUGGUUUAUUGAAGUGAUGUUAUAUGGUGAUUGUUGUACCAGACAAUUUGUUUUAUGUCUUUCUGGUUGAUUGAAGUGAUGUUAUAUGGUGAUUGUUGUACCAGACCUUUGUUUCAUAUGUCUUUUCUGUUUAUUGAAGUGAUGUUAUAUGGUGAUUGUUGUACCAGACCAUUUGUGCAUAUGUUCGAUUUUGGUUUAUUGAAUGAUGUAUAGGAUGUUUUGUACCAGACCAUUUGCUUAUGUGUCUUUUCUGGUUUAUUGAAGUGUGUCAUAUGUGAUUGUUUUCCAGACAUUUUUGUAUAGUCGAUUUUGGUAUUGAAGUGACGUUCUAUGUGAUUUGUACCAGACCAUUUUUCAUACAUUUUUUCUGGUUAAUGAAGUGAUUUUAAUAUAGUAAUUGUUGUACACUGAAACAUAUGGCGAUAUGUUUUAUAGAUUUGUGAAGUGAUGUUAUAUGGUGAUUAUAUCGUCAUGAAUAGUACAUAUACAAAUCUGAUAUUUUGUCAUUUGAACACAUGACAAUUUAUCAUGAAACACAUAUGUAUUAUGUAUACAAUAAAUGGACUUGAAUAAAUGAUCAAAAAUAUAUCCAAAGUUUAUCCUUUAAACUUAACUACAUAUAUAUGGACUCGAAUCGUACAAGUCCAAUAUAUGUAAUCAGAGCACUCAAACCACCGAAUAAAGUAAUCAUUGUAAGGGUUCCAGCGAUGCAAGCACUUCGAUGAGCACGUUUCAAACUUCCUCUGUCCGCCGCUGAAUUUGCCUGAAAUGAAAUAUUUAACAUAAAAUCCACAAAUAAUGCUACAAUGUUACUUCAUAUCAAUCUGUUUACAAACAUAGUUUACUUUGAAGGGAUAAAACAAAUGGCUGUGAAUAUUCUGUACUGUCUAGUACUCGACCAAAACAUUUUGCAACUCCAUCCUGUUCUGGUUCCACGAACCAAAACAGUAUCUUCAUCCAUAUUCUAUGUGUACAGGACGGGAAUAGAAAUAGUAUUGACUGUGCAUAAUUUUAACUAGUCCCAGUACAAAAAAUACGCAAUGGACUCCAUGUUGACAUAAAUCAUAUCUUUGGGACUUUCUGAUACACAACCAUCAAGAUGCCAAAUAGUGCAUAGUUUAUAAAAGAGAUCUUAAAACGCAGGAAGACUUUCUCCCAUAGAUGGGGAAUUUCUAGCAUGACAACAAAAGGUUGUAUACCGUAAAGUUGAAAAUGGAAAUGGGGAAUGUGUCAAAGAGAUAACAAACCAACCAUAGAACAGGCAACAGCAGAAGGUCAUCAAUAGGUCUUCAAUCCAGCGAGAAAAUCACGCACCCGGAGACGUCCUUCAGCUGGCCCCUAAACAAAUAUAUAUACUAGUUCAGUGAUAAUGGACGUCAUACUAAACUCCAAAUUAUACACAAGAAACUUAAAUGUAAAAAUCAUACAAGACUAACACAGGCCAGAGGCUCCUGACUGGGGACAGCCGCAAAAAUGCAGCGGAGUUAAACAUAUGUCUUUUAUAGAUUUGUGAAGUGAUGUUAUAUGGUGAUUAUAUCGUCAUGAAUAGUACAUAUACAAAUCUGAUAUUUUGUCAUUUGAACACAUGACAAUUUAUCAUGAAACACAUAUGUAUUAUGUAUACAAUAAAUGGACUUGAAUAAAUGAUCAAAAAUAUAUCCAAAGUUUAUCCUUUAAACUUAACUACAUAUAUAUGGACUCGAAUCGUACAAGUCCAAUAUAUGUAAUCAGAGCACUCAAACCACCGAAUAAAGUAAUCAUUGUAAGGGUUCCAGCGAUGCAAGCACUUCGAUGAGCACGUUUCAAACUUCCUCUGUCCGCCGCUGAAUUUGCCUGAAAUGAAAUAUUUAACAUAAAAUCCACAAAUAAUGCUACAAUGUUACUUCAUAUCAAUCUGUUUACAAACAUAGUUUACUUUGAAGGGAUAAAACAAAUGGCUGUGAAUAUUCUGUACUGUCUAGUACUCGACCAAAACAUUUUGCAACUCCAUCCUGUUCUGGUUCCACGAACCAAAACAGUAUCUUCAUCCAUAUUCUAUGUGUACAGGACGGGAAUAGAAAUAGUAUUGACUGUGCAUAAUUUUAACUAGUCCCAGUACAAAAAAUACGCAAUGGACUCCAUGUUGACAUAAAUCAUAUCUUUGGGACUUUCUGAUACACAACCAUCAAGAUGCCAAAUAGUGCAUAGUUUAUAAAAGAGAUCUUAAAACGCAGGAAGACUUUCUCCCAUAGAUGGGGAAUUUCUAGCAUGACAACAAAAGGUUGUAUACCGUAAAGUUGAAAAUGGAAAUGGGGAAUGUGUCAAAGAGAUAACAAACCAACCAUAGAAAAAAAAAAAAAACAAAAAAAAAAAAAAAAAAAAAAAAAAAAAAAAAAAAAAAAAAAAAAAAAAAAAAAAAAAAAAAAAGAAAAAAAAAAAAAAAAAAAAAAAAAAAAAAAAAAAAAAAAAAAAAAAAAAAAAAAAAAAAAAAAAAAAAAAAAAAAAAAAAAAGAAAAAAAAAAAAAAAAAAAAAAAAAAAAAAAAAAAAAAAAAAUCAGCAAGAGAG